rnacentral:rRNA from 1 species
UACGUAUGGUGCAAGCGUUAUCCGGAUUUACUGGGUGUAAAGGGAGCGUAGACGGCGGUGCAAGCCAGAUGUGAAAGCCCGGGGCUCAACCCCGGGACUGCAUUUGGAACUGUGCUGCUAGAGUGUCGGAGAGGCAGGCGGAAUUCCUAGUGUAGCGGUGAAAUGCGUAGAUAUUAGGAGGAACACCAGUGGCGAAGGCGGCAUGCUGGACGAUGACUGACGUUGAGGCUCGAAAGCGUGGGGAGCAAACAGG